rnacentral:rRNA from 1 species
CAGUCGCCACGGUAAUACGUAGGGUGCGAGCGUUAAUCGGAAUUACUGGGCGUAAAGCGUGCGCAGGCGGUUUUGUAAGACAGAGGUGAAAUCCCCGGGCUCAACCUGGGAACUGCCUUUGUGACUGCAAGGCUAGAGUACGGCAGAGGGGGAUGGAAUUCCGCGUGUAGCAGUGAAAUGCGUAGAUAUGCGGAGGAACACCGAUGGCGAAGGCAAUCCCCUGGGCCUGUACUGACGCUCAUGCACGAAAGCGUGGGGAGCAAACAGGAUUAGAUACCCGGGUAGUCCCUGUCUCUUAUAC